rnacentral:lncRNA from 1 species
GGCAAGAAAACGAAGAAGAACAAGAUUCAAGGUCAGUAUCUACAAUAGCAUAAAUAUUUUUGAGAACUCCACCAACAUCAGAUUAUCAAACAGAAGAGAUAUUGAAAAAGAGAGAGAGAGGGAGAGAGAAAAAGCAAACACAAACUGUCAUUACAAUACCAAAUUUAUAGAUAAGUUUCAAAGAAUCUGCUAUUGAGAGAUUAAAGAAACCUCUUCUGCAGAGACCAUAAGAUUUAUACUAGCACUCUCUCGAACCAGCAAUCUCUAAACCGACAUAGUUAAAAUGUAAUAUGUUUUGAAGGGAGAUUAUUAGAAACAUCGGUCAGGUAAUGAGACUAUACUGGAGGAGAGGAUCAAAGGGGUUUUUUGAGAUUACUUCCACUUCUUGAAUUUGCCUCCUCCUCCAAACAUACCAUGUUUCCCGUGCUUGCCAUGCUUUCCAUGCUUUCCGUGCUUGAAUUUGCCUCCAUGCUUUCCAUGCUUGAACUUACCAUGACCAUGACCACCAAAGCCAUGAGCAGGGCCAUGGCCAUACCCUCCAUGUCCUACAGCAUGCCCGUAAGGGUUGUGAGAGGCAUGACCAACAUGGUGAGCUCCAUAGGCUGCUGCAGCCCCUGCUAUCAUGCCUCCGAUUCCACCA